CAGAGGAGCACCAGGACAAGAUCACAGGAAACAGAUGAUUCUUCUGCACAAUCUGACUUUGCUGCAGCCUGGAAUUGAACUACUGGUUUCGUCUGGUCAGAGGAGAACUGGCCCCCCGACUGAGCCUGGUUUCUCCCAAGGUUUUUUUCUCCAUUCUGUCACCGAUGGAGUUUCGGUUCCUUGCCGCUGUCGCCUCUGGCUUGCUUAGUUGGGGUCACUUCAUCUACAGCGAUAUCGUUGACUUGAUUGCAAAUUAAAACAGACACUAUUUCAACUGAACAGAGAUGACAUCAAUGAAUUCAAUGAUGAACUGCCUUUAACUAUCAUUUUGCAUUAUUGAGACACUGUUUUCCAAAUGAAUGUUGUUCAGUGCUUUGGCGCAAUGUAUUUUGUUUAAAGCACUAUAUAAAUAAAGGUGAUUGAUUGAUUGAUAUAAGU